rnacentral:piRNA from 1 species
GGGUCGAGGUUUUGCAUGAUUUCUUUC